rnacentral:rRNA from 1 species
CUAGCCGUAAACGAUGGAUACUAGGCGUUGAGAGGAUCGACCCUCGCAGUGCCGUAGCUAACGCGUUAAGUAUCCCGCCUGGGGAGUACGCGCGCAAGCGUGAAACUCAAAGGAAUUGACGGGGGCCCGCACAAGCGGUGGAGUAUGUGGUUUAAUUCGAUGCAACGCGAAGAACCUUACCAGGGCUUGACAUGUCCGGAACCCUGCCCAAAGGUGGGGGUGCCAACGGGAGCCGGAACACAGGUGGUGC